AAUUACAUUAUUAUUAAUGUUGUAUUGUUGUUGUGUCAUCAUUAUUAAUCAUGAAUCAUUGAAUACAUGAUGAUUAAUCGGAAAUUCCAUGUCGAUGUCUCAAACUUCCUAUAUGUUUUACGGUGUACGGCGCACGGAAUACGACAUACGGCGCACGUCCGAUAGUAACGGAGACGGUGAUAACGACGGCCCGAUAACGGCCAGGAUCGAACUACGAGGCUCGUGUGAGAUGUCCACAAGACUGUCCGUGGUUUCUUUCUCUGACGCGGUAGGGAAGCGGACGCAAAAAUGUCGUGGAUACCUACCGACUCCUACCAUCUUACGCAUCCGGAAUUGCUGUCGGAUUACCAGCUACGCGAAAUCUUGAAAAUGAGGUGCAUCAGAACAUACGAAUUUGAAAAAAUGAGCAGAAGUGAACUGUUGCAAAUGUAUAAUCGAAUGGCAUUGCCUUUACCUCAACGGCAGCAUAACAUUGCUAACAGUGAUAACAAUAGACAAGACAACAGUAGACAGUUUAAUUGCAACAGCUUAGCUGCAGGGUCAAAUAAAACAAAUAAGAGAAAUGAAUCCCUUCAGAUGGAUAAAGUGAAUUUUCUUGAGAAUAAAAAGAUUAGAUUAUAUUCUCCACCAAAAGAAUCUAAUGGAAUUUAUAAACGUGUUCCUGAAGGAGAAAGUGAGGAUUUAUCAAAAGGAAAACGUCAGAAGAUCACAUAAAUAAGAGGAAGAAUAUAUUCUGUUCUCUUCUAAUUAUCACUGGGAAUUUAAUCUUAAGUAGCAAUACACUACUUGUGAUAACUUUAUAUAAAAGAUGCGGCAGGAAGGACAAGAAGCAUCACAACGAUAUCUCAUUACGUAAGCGAGUGGUUUACGAACAUGUUUCAUGGUCAUGAUCAGUGCUUCUCCUUAAUUAUACAUACCGAAUGAUUCAUCUUUGUUUAUGAAAGAAGAGACAGAAAUAAUUCACGUUCGAAUCUGUAAUCUAUCGUUCGUUCGCCAAUGAGAAGUGCCUCAUAUUCUUUAUAAUAUAAAAGCGAAAUCUCGGAAACUUUAAGAAUUUAGAAAUAAAAGACUUUACGAAUGCUUUUUUUGCGACGAUUUCAAGUCAAAAUGUUUUCUAGGAAUUCAUGGAAUUUGCUAUGCUACUUCUUGUUGAAAUGUAUAAUCUCGAAGAAGAUAGAUUUUUUAUCUUUCGUAAAUAAGUAGCAUUGAGUAACAUUUAAUAUUUUACAAGUAACUUGCGUAAUUUUUAAUUUUUUAUAAUUAUUCCAGAAAAUAAAAGCCAUACUUUCAACUAGUAGAUUAGAACCUGAAUGAAAUGGGUUUAAAUCCUCUAUGAACAUUUCGAAAAAUAGAUUCUCGAGAUGGGAUUAAAUAUGUUCCAACAUUUUAUGAGCGCUUUAUUAGAAAUUUUACGUUCUUUCAAGUAAAAAUAUUUGUAUUAUUAUAGUCUAUAAUAAUCACAAUCGUUAGAUUAUCAAUCGUUGAAAUUAAAUAAAUUAAAUAUAAUAAACAUAUACAUAAAAGAAUAAAAAUUAUUUAAAGUUUUACAUCAUAUGAGAUGGUUUUAAGUUUGACAACUUCCCAGAUAGUAUAAAGUUUAAAAUCUUGAUAUAAAAUAUCUUUAAGACAUCUUAUAUCCCGAACUUUGCGUUGUAUGGUUUAUUUUUAAAAUCUAAGUAUUGUAUAAGAUUUUUAUUCUUUACAGUAAAAAUUAUUUAUAAAUACAUUUCGAAUUCUGUAAGUGCACUCAUUCUAAAAUUUGAAAAUAAUUAGAUGAGAUUGAUUAUUUCGCAAGUUUAUGUAUAAAAUAUUUCUUAUGAAUAUUACUCGAAUCCCACAAAAUGAAACUUGAUUGUUGGAGUUAAUUCGGAUUUUUAACUACAUAUUAAAUUUGAUUUCAUUCCUAAAAA
rnacentral:misc_RNA from 1 species